rnacentral:rRNA from 1 species
CACGUAGGGCGCAAGCGUUGUCCUGAAUUAUUGGGCGUAAAGAGCUCGUAGGCGGUCUGUUGCGUCCGCUGUGAAAACUCGGGGCUUAACCCCGAGCCUGCAGUGGAUACGGGCAGACUAGAGGUAGGUAGGGGAGAAUGGAAUUCCCGGUGUAGCGGUGAAAUGCGCAGAUAUCGGGAGGAACACCGGUGGCGAAGGCGGUUCUCUGGGCCUUACCUGACGCUGAGGAGCGAAAGCGUGGGGAGCGAACAGG